rnacentral:rRNA from 1 species
UACGUAGGUCCCGAGCGUUGUCCGGAUUUAUUGGGCGUAAAGCGAGCGCAGGUGGUUUAUUAAGUCUGGUGUAAAAGGCAGUGGCUCAACCAUUGUAUGCAUUGGAAACUGGUAGACUUGAGUGCAGGAGAGGAGAGUGGAAUUCCAUGUGUAGCGGUGAAAUGCGUAGAUAUAUGGAGGAACACCGGUGGCGGAGGCGGCUCUCUGGCCUGUAACUGACACUGAGGCUCGAAAGCGUGGGGAGCAAACAGG